rnacentral:rRNA from 1 species
AUUGAACGCUGGCGGCAGGCCUAACACAUGCAAGUCGAGCGGUAACACAGAGAGCUUGCUCUCGGGUGACGAGCGGCGGACGGGUGAGUAAUGUCUGGGAAACUGCCUGAUGGAGGGGGAUAACUACUGGAAACGGUAGCUAAUACCGCAUAACGUCGCAAGACCAAAGAGGGGGACCUUCGGGCCUCGUGCCAUCAGAUGUCCCCAGAUGGGAUUAGCAAGAAGGUGGGGUAACGGCUCACCUAGGCGACGAUCCCUAGCUGUUGUGAGAGGAUGAGCAGGCACACGGGAACUGAGACGAGGUCCAGACUCCUACGGGAGGCAGCAGGGGGGAAUAUGGCACUAUGGGCGCAAGCCUGAGGCAGCCAUGCCGCGUGUAUGAAGAAGGCCUUCGGGUUGUAAAGUACUUUCAGCGGGGAGGAAGGCGAUAAGGUUAAUAACCUUGUCGAUUGACGUUACCCGCAGAAGAAGCACCGGCUAACUCCGUGCCAGCAGCCGCGGUAA